CGCUCGCGGUCAUGACCGCGCCCCCAGGCGCUCGGGAGCACUCCGAAGGCGACAGCGCUGCCCUUGAGCUCUCCGAGACAAAAGUGGUGGCUAGCAGCGCCGGUCGCGUCGGCCUCUGAGCUUAAAUCCGGUUGGCGCUCGCCCCUCGCGUGCCCUCCGGUUAAAAGCGGGGAUGGUAGGUGCCGGGGGAUCCCCCUCCUCCMCCCCCCCGUUGCUACGCACUGUGGGUCCGUCUGCACGGGAGCCGGAUUUCCGAACCCCSCGUUGAACGCAAGUUUCUGAGCUMCCAAGUGCCCUAAGACGUUAAGKGUGGUUCAUAGCGUAAAGCGAUGCAARAAGUAGCCACGCUCUCGGCUCUAUAGGCAACGGCUCUCAGCAUAAUCUAUUCACUUUCUUCCGGCGCGCCCGCUUGGGCGCCCCGAGCGAGAGAGCAAUCUAAAGGAACCGCGUAAGGCGCGGCCCCCCAAGCAAUUUCGGCCUCCCUAUGCCCUUCUUAGGGCGCGGGGGGGCUGCCACGCCCCUCCUCGGCUCCGAGGGGGGUGCGGCUACUNANAUGAGCAAGCGCCCAGCAA
rnacentral:misc_RNA from 1 species